CCUACGGGAGGCAGCAGUGAGGAAUAUUGGACAAUGGGCGCAAGCCUGAUCCAGCCAUGCCGCGUGCAGGAAGAAGCAUCUAUGGUGUGUAAACUGCUUUUGUACAGGAAGAAACACUCCCUCGUGAGGGAGCUUGACGGUACUGUAAGAAUAAGGACCGGCUAACUCCGUGCCAGCAGCCGCGGUAAUACGGAGGGUCCGAGCGUUAUCCGGAAUCAUUGGGUUUAAAGGGUCCGUAGGCGGUUUAAUAAGUCAGUGGUGAAAUCUGGUCGCUCAACGAUCAAACGGCCAUUGAUACUGUUAGACUUGAAUUAUAAGGAAGUAACUAGAAUAUGUAGUGUAGCGGUGAAAUGCUUAGAUAUUACAUGGAAUACCAAUUGCGAAGGCAGGUUACUACUUAUGGAUUGACGCUGAUGGACGAAAGCGUUGGGGGAGGACGACGAGAGUAGUAUACCUACGUAGUACGACCGACCGUAACGUAACGUAGUAGUACUAGUACGUGUUCGGUACGACGAACUACUGUAGU
rnacentral:rRNA from 1 species